UACAGAGACUGCAAGCGUUAUUCGGAUUCACUGGGCGUAAAGGGUGCGCAGGCGGCCGAGUGUGUGAGGCGUGAAAGCCCGGGGCUUAACCCCGGAAUUGCACCUCAAACUACACGGCUAGAGCAUUGGAGAGGGUAGCAGAAUUCAUGGUGUAGCAGUGAAAUGCGUAGAUAUCAUGAGGAAUACCAGAGGCGAAGGCGGCUACCUGGACAAUUGCUGACGCUCAGGCACGAAAGCGUGGGGAGCAAAAGG
rnacentral:rRNA from 1 species